rnacentral:rRNA from 1 species
GGGGGGGGGGGGGGGGGGGGGGGGGGGGGGGGGGGGGGGGGGGGGGGGGGGAGGGGGGGGCGGGUGGGGGGGGGGAGGGGCGGACGGGGGGGGGAGGCGUGGGAAGCGACUGGGGCGUGGGGGGGGGCGGGGGGAAACGGACGCGGAUGCCGCAUGGGAGCUACGGGUGAAAGCAGGGAGUCUGCGGACCUUGCCCGAUCUAAUGAGCCGGUGUCGGAUGAGCUAGUUGGCGGGGUAAAGGAGCACCAAGGCGCCGAUCCGUAGCUGGUCUGCGAGGAUGAGCAGCCACACUGGAACUGAGACACGGUCCAGACUCCUACGGGAGGCAGCAGUGGGGACUCUUGGACAAUGGGCGCAAGCCUGCUCCAGCCAUACCGCGUGGGUGAAGAAGGCCUUCGGGUUGUAAAGCCCUUUUGUUGGGAAAGAAAAGCAGCAGGUUAAUACCCCGCUGUUCUGACGGUACCCAAAGAAUAAGCACCGGCUAACUUCGUG